rnacentral:rRNA from 1 species
AUGUCAGUGCCGGGCGUUGGUUAGGUGGACGUUGGGGUGUGGGAUCAAGUGGUGGGCGCUGCUCUUCGCCUCUCUCGCGCUCUCUCGCGUGCGCGCGGUGUCUCGGCGCGCGUGUGUGUGUGCUCUUCUCACGCGCCCUCGCGGGUUGUGUGUGGCGGGGUGCGCGCGCGCGUGCGUGUUCACGGGCCCGCCGCCGCGUGGUCACGGGUGCUUGGGGGUGGGCUCGCUUGCUACUCCCGCAACAUGCUCCCGUCCGUAACAAGCCUCCGCGCCUGCGUACAUAGUGGUGCUUGACUGGGGUGGCGGACAAGGCGUCGGCGUAUGCUUGCCGGGCUGGCGGGUGCGGAUCGAUCUCGCUCGCGCGUUAUCUUUUCCUCUCGCUGCCCGUGUCUUCGCUCGCCGUUCGCUCCCGUCUUCUCCUAGAGUAUCAGUGUCACCGUGAGUAAAUCGGAGUGCUCAAAGCAGUCGUAACGGGCCUCGUGCCCUGUGAACAGUCUUGACGGACUGACUUGGUUUUGCAUGGUAUGUCGGAAGACGACGUCGAGCGCUGGCUAAGAGGUAUUUUUAAUGAAUCAGUGGUAUAAGCCAGCCUCGACGUACUGAUUAAAAGGGCUUGUCGAGGGCAUUGGUAUUGCGGAGCGAGAGGUGAAAUUCUAUGACCUCCGCAAGACCGCCCGAAGCGAAAGCGUCUGCCAAGGAUGUUUUCAUUAAUCAUGAACGAAAGUUAGAGGAUCGAAGGCGAUCAGAUACCGCCCUAGUUCUAACCCUAAACGAUGCCAACCAUCAAUCCGCGCGUAGCACCCUUUAUGACGGGCUCGGCGGGCAGCUCCUUUUUCACGGGAAACCAGAGUCUCUGGGUUCCGGGG